rnacentral:rRNA from 1 species
ACGGCGAGUGAAGCGGCAACAGCUCAAAUUUGAAAUCUGGCGUCUUUGGCGUCCGAGUUGUAAUUUGCAGAGGGCGCUUUGGCAUUGGCAGCGGUCCAAGUUCCUUGGAACAGGACGUCACAGAGGGUGAGAAUCCCGUACGUGGUCGCUAGCCUUUACCGUGUAAAGCCCCUUCGACGAGUCGAGUUGUUUGGGAAUGCAGCUCUAAAUGGGAGGUAAAUUUCUUCUAAAGCUAAAUACUGGCCAGAGACCGAUAGCGCACAAGUAGAGUGAUCGAAAGAUGAAAAGCACUUUGGAAAGAGAGUUAAAAAGCACGUGAAAUUGUUGAAAGGGAAGCGCUUGCAGCCAGACUUGCCUGUAGUUGCUCAUCCGGGUUUUUACCCGGUGCACUCUUCUAUAGGCAGGCCAGCAUCAGUUUGGGCGGUUGGAUAAAGGUCUCUGUCAUGUACCUCUCUUCGGGGAGAACUUAUAGGGGAGACGACAUGCAACCAGCCUGGACUGAGGUCCGCGCAUCUGCUAGGAUGCUGGCGUAAUGGCUGUAAGCGGCCCGUCUUGAAACACGGACCAAGGAGUCUAACAUCUAUGCGAGUGUUUGGGUGUCAAGCCCGAGCGCGUAAUGAAAGUGAACGGAGGUGGGAACCUUUCGGGGUGCACCAUCGACCGAUCCUGAUGUCUUCGGAUGGAUUUGAGUAAGAGCAUAGCUGUUGGGACCCGAAAGAUGGUGAACUAUGCUUGAAUAGGGUGAAGCCAGAGGAAACUCUGGUGGAGGCUCGCAGCGGUUCUGACGUGCAAAUCGAUCGUCAAAUUUGGGCAUAGGGGCGAAAGACUAAUCGAACUAUCUAGUAGCGGGUUCCUGCCGAAGUUUCCCUCAGGAUAGCAG